rnacentral:tRNA from 1 species
GUAGCUCAGUCGGGUAAGCGCCCGCUUCUCAAGCAAGAGAUGCGGGUUCGAAUCCCAUGACA